rnacentral:rRNA from 1 species
UACGAAGGGGGCUAGCGUUGCUCGGAAUCACUGGGCGUAAAGCGCACGUAGGCGGAUCUUUUAAGUCAGGGGUGAAAUCCUGGAGCUCAACUCCAGAACUGCCUUUGAUACUGGGGAUCUCGAGUCCGGGAGAGGUGAGUGGAACUGCGAGUGUAGAGGUGAAAUUCGUAGAUAUUCGCAAGAACACCAGUGGCGAAGGCGGCUCACUGGCCCGGUACUGACGCUGAGGUGCGAAAGCGUGGGGAGCAAACAGG